UAAGGAAUCUUCCACAAUGGGCGAAAGCCUGAUGGAGCAACGCCGCGUGCAGGAUGAAGGCCCUCGGGUCGUAAACUGCUUUUAUGAGUGAAGAAUAUGACGGUAACUCAUGAAUAAGCACCGGCUAACUACGUGCCAGCAGCCGCGGUCAUACGUAGGGUGCAAGCAUUAUCCGGAGUGACUGGGCGUAAAGAGUUGCGUAGGUGGUUAGUAAAGUGAAUAGUGAAACCUGGUGGCUCAACCAUACAGACUAUUAUUCAAACUCACUAACUCGAGAGUGGUAGAGGUAACUGGAAUUUCUAGUGUAGGAGUGAAAUCCGUAGAUAUUAGAAGGAACACCAAUGGCGUAGGCAGGUUACUGGACCAUUUCUGACACUGAGGCACGAAAGCGUGGGGAGCGAACCGGAUUAGAUACCCGCGUAGUCC
rnacentral:rRNA from 1 species